rnacentral:lncRNA from 1 species
AUAAACUGGCAUGUUCUGAAAGAAUCACUCUGGAUGCUGUGUGGAGAAAACACUGAAAAGAAUUCUAGAGUGAAAGUUUCAUGAAUAUAAGAAGCAAGACAAGGAAGUGGCUUAUGCUUAAGGCCUUAAAGGCAACCACUGUGACAAUCCAGCCAUUCUCUGGAGAAUUCAGCAGAAAGCCAGUUGGAAAGACCAAAAUGCUGAACAGAACAGGAUUUGGUACAGCAGAGAGCAUGCAACUCUGGGAACUAUGGAAAAGGAUUCCAGGCAUCAUAAAGGAAGAAAGGCCAGAAAAGAAGGUGGUGGAUACCAAAAAUUCUGUGGACUACCUAAAAAAGCACCCAGGUUUGAAAUGGAAAUUACAAGCGCAAUAUUACAGAAGUGUGGAUUUUAGUUACAAUGUCUCUAUGAGAAAGUCUAAAAGUUAAACAUAAGCAAAACAACAAAAACAUCUAAAUACCAGGGGGAGAAUAAUUGACUCCAUUCAAGUGUUCGCUCCUGUUUCAAUCAACUAUGGCUGAAGAGUGAGGAGACAUUUGGAAUAAAUAUGGCUUCUGGGGGCCCAUUCCUAUGGAUCAGCAGCUGGCUUCUGGAGGCCCAUUCCUGUGAAUCGUCGAUCUCAUAGAAGAUAAUAUUGUUAGAAGGCUUACCUCAUUGAUGCUGAACAUCCUAAAAAGCUUCUGCUGCUUUGAGUCACUGAAAAAGACCAAGAAACAUGAAUUUAAAAAAAAAUUUCAAAUGUUAUAAAAUAAAUAAUAUGAACUCAUUAUACCUACAAUGAAUAAUUUAAAUUCUUCUUUGGUAGUCCAGGUAAAUAACUUCUCAAAUAGAUUUUUUUAAGCAUCUGUAUAAGUUCAAGAUGUACAUCACUUCAUGUAGAAUAACAUCUCCUAAAAAGAACUGAAAUGCCUCAGUAUACAACCAGCUGACCUGGCUAUCAAACACUUAUUUAGCACAUAUUACAUGAUGGACACUUUGAUGUAGAUACGGACCUUGGGUUGUGUCCUCAAGGAUCAUACAGUGGGUUGAGGAAAUAGGAUAUGCUAUCCAUAGGAAAGUAAAUAAUAAUAUGACAGCUUAUUUUCAAUGAGAAGUGAAUAGUACAAAGAAUAGGAGUUGCCAGAUUUCAAAAGGAAAGAGCUAUCACACAGAGGCGGAACAAUUAGAAAUUUUUCAUGAAGGAAGUGUUCUUUGUGCUGGACCUUUGAGAAAGUAUAGAAUGUAGAUUAGCAAAAAGGCAUGGAAAAGGCAUGAUAGGUAGGAGAGGCAAGUUAGGCAAAGGUCCAUUAGAAUUGCUCAAGAUAUAAUAGACCAACUUGGCCUGAAAAAGGCCUGGAAGUAUCCUCUUUUGUGCUCUGUGAGAAGUUUGCCACCAUGUAAAAAGUCUAACUACCCUAAGGCAACCAUGCUCUGAGAAGCCCAACCUAUCCAGGUGGAGAGGUCCUGUAGAGAAUUGAGGCCACUGGCCCUGAGCUCCCAGUUGAAAUAGACAAUAUCAACAUGUCAGCAGGGUGAAUGAGACCAUCUUGGAAGUGGGUCCUCCAAGAGUAGUUGAGCCAUCCUGCCUAAAUUUCAGCAUUUUGAGCAAAUAAAUGAUUUAUACCAUUUUAAAUCACUAUAUUUUUGAGUGAAUCACUGACUUUUUUCUCAAUUAAGCAUAGGUUUAGAAACUAUGAAAACCCUAGAAGAAAACCUAGGCAAUGCCAUUCAGGACAUAGGCACGGACAAAGAUUUCAUGACGAAGACGCCAAAAACAACUGCAACAAAAGCAAAAAUUGACAGAUGGGAUCUCAUUAAACUAAAGAGCUUCCAUACAGCAAAAGAAGCUACCAUGAGAGUGAACAGACAACCUAUAGAAAGGGAGAAAAAUUUUGCAAUCUGUUCAUCUGACAAAGGUCUAAUAUCCAGCAUCUACAAGGAACUUAAAUAAAUUUACAAGAAAAAAACAAACCCAUUAGAAAAUGGGCAAAGGACAUGAAAAGAUACUUCUCAAAAGACAUACAUGUGGCCAACAAUCAUACAAAAAAAACCUCAACAUCACUGAUGAUUAGAAAAAUGCUAAUCAAAACCACAACGAGAUACCAUCUCAUACCUGUCAGAAUGGCUAUUAAUAAAAAGUUAAAAAACAACAGAUGCUGGUGAGGUUGUUGAGAAAAAGGAAUACUGUUAUACUGUUGGUGGGAAUGUAAAUUAGUUCAACCAUUGUGGGAGACAGUGUGGCAUUUCCUCAAAGACCUAG